ensembl:ncRNA asRNA:CR43889 antisense RNA:CR43889
UCACGUCAUGGCUGCCACGUCCAAGCAACAAUGAAUGUAAAUGGUGGCAGAUGAGGCCGUCUGGGCAUUCUCGACUAGCUCCAAAAGGGGCACACUAUUUUUCUGGUGAUACCAUUGCACAGCCGAUGAUAACACUGCAUAUACGGUAACACCACAAUAAGUGUGAACUAAAAUGAAUUUUCCGUAUAUUACAAUUGACACUUGACAAUUCACAGGAUUUACAGAGUAUUCCACUCAAAACUUUCGACCAAAACAACCAUGUAAAACAUAUGUUUUGAUGAGUGAGCAGGACGUCUAUAUAUUGCCUGCAUUCGCGAAUGGAGGGAACACAAAAAUGCAAUAAAAAAUAUGUGUGGAAUGGAGGAGGCGCAAAAGACCCCAAAAAAACGCGCCACACAUGUACAAAUUUCACCAAUUGCUGUAAUACAAAUAGUUUAUAACGAGGUACAGCAAUGACAAUGACCAAUUAGGAUAAUAGGCAACAAUAAACAAUGGGAGGGGGACGCAGCACGCUGCGCGGCUUUGCGGCUCUUGAACAUGACCACGGUUCUUAGCCUGACCGAGCGACGGUCGGACCGAGUUUUUUUCACGCCGACAUUUGGCCGACUGAAACAAUGCACUUACCCUGGAAAUUAUCGUCAUUCUCUUCCUCCGAUGCCAUUGUAGCACUCGAAUGCAACUUUUACACUGUUUGAGCACACGAAAUUGUCUUAAUUUCCACAACAAAUAAUUAAGCACACACAGACACGACGAGAAAAAAAUAGUCAAUUGUAAGCGGCUUCAAC